AAUUUCAAUUUCUUCUAAUAUAGAAAAUCAAUAGUAGUCAAAAGGCAUCACUGCCACUUCCCGCUCCCCUCCAGGAGCCUCUGUAGAUGUACUUGUGAAUGUAAGGGUACGGCUUGGAUAGGAACACAACUAGCACUUGACAGGACAUACCAGCUAGGUGAAAUAUUCUAUAAUGGUCAAGGCAACUGGUUAAACCUUGUAUAAUGCUCAAGAAAACC